rnacentral:rRNA from 1 species
UGCAUUAGAAAACUGCGGAAAGCUCAUUAGAAAAGUGUAAAUGAAAAGUUGUUAUAAUAAUACGCAUACCUUCUGUAAUUCUGAGGCUAAUGCGUGCAGGCAACAAGACAGUUCCAAAACAUGCACAUAAUAAGUUGAAAUAUCACCAAUUUAUUGGGUUGAUGUGCAACACAAUUAUGUAAGCUGUUGCUUGUCACAAAAGCGAUUAUAUUCUUACCUAUCAGCUUGCGAUGAUACGCUAGUGACGUAGUAUGGCUGUUACGGGUGGCGAAGAAUUAGGGUUUGAUCUCGGAGAGGACGCUUGAGAAAUAGCGGCUACAUCUAAGGAAGGCAGCAGGCGCGCAAAUUACACCAUCUUGACAGACGGAGGUAGU